rnacentral:rRNA from 1 species
CAAGUCGAGCGGAAAGGCCCUUCGGGGUACUCGAGCGGCGAACGGGUGAGUAACACGUGAGGAACCUGCCCCAGCUCUGGGAUAGCUCCGGGAAACCGGAAUUAAUACCGGAUACGACCCUGACUGACAUCAGUCAGGGUGGAAAGGAUUUCCGGCUGAGGAUGGACUCGCGGCCUAUCAGCUAGUUGGUGGAGUAACGGCCCACCAAGGCGACGACGGGUAGCCGGCCUGAGAGGGCGACCGGCCACACUGGGACUGAGACACGGCCCAGACUCCUGCGGGAGGCAGCAGUGGGGAAUAUUGCGCAAUGGGCGAAAGCCUGACGCAGCGACGCCGCGUGGGGGAUGAAGGCCUUCGGGUUGUAAACCCCUUUCAGCAGGGACGAAGCGAGAGUGACGGUACCUGCAGAAGAAGCGCCGGCUAACUACGUGCCAGCAGCCGCGGUAACACGUAGGGCGCAAGCGUUGUCCGGAAUUAUUGGGCGUAAAGAGCUCGUAGGCGGUCUGUUACGUCUGCUGUGAAAACCCAGGGCUUAACCCUGGGCUUGCAGUGGAUACGGGCAGACUAGAGGCAGGUAGGGGAGAAUGGAAUUCCCGGUGUAGCGGUGAAAUGCGCAGAUAUCGGGAGGAACACCGGUGGCGAAGGCGGUUCUCUGGGCCUGACCUGACGCUGAGGAGCGAAAGCGUGGGGAGCGAACAGGAUUAGAUACCCUGGUAGUCCACGCUGUAAACGUUGGGCGCUAGGUGUGGGGUCCUUCCACGGAUUCCGUGCCGCAGCUAACGCACUAAGC